AUUGAACGCUGGCGGAAUGCUUUACACAUGCAAGUCGAACGGCAGCACGGACUUCGGUCUGGUGGCGAGUGGCGAACGGGUGAGUAAUGUAUCGGAACGUGCCCAGUCGUGGGGGAUAACGUAGUGAAAAUUACGCUAAUACCGCAUACGAUCUAUGGAUGAAAGCGGGGGAUCGCAAGACCUCGCGCGAUUGGAGCGGCCGAGAUCAGAUUAGGUAGUUGGUGGGGUAAAGGCCCACCAAGCCAACGAUCUGUAGCUGGUCUGAGAGGACGACCAGCCACACUGGAACUGAGACACGGUCCAGACUCCUCCGGGAGGCAGCAGUGGGGAAUUUUGGACAAUGGGCGAAAGCCUGAUCCAGCCAUUCCGCGUGCAGGAUGAAGGCCCUCGGGUUGUAAACUGCUUUUGUACAGAACGAAAAGGUUUCUACUAAUACUAGGAGCUCAUGACGGUACUGUAAGAAUAAGCACCGGCUAACUACGUGCCAGCAGCCGCAGUAA
rnacentral:rRNA from 1 species